GAUUAUCAAGUACAAGAAGAAGUGCGUGCAUGGGACGAGCAAGCUAAUUCCUGGAAGCGGACUUACUGCCAUGGUUGUGUUAAUGAUGACAGAGUGUUCCCAUCGUUGAAGCCAAACUGACAGAUGAGCCUGGUGUUGAUCCUUUUGCUCAAAGGAGGGAAGAGAAGAAGAGCAGCAUCGAUAAACAAGAAAUUAACAGACGUGGGAAUUUGAAGAACGGGCCAUCGUCGGAUUUUCUCGCAGGUGAGGGGAGGCGUUCAGGGGAUCGGCUACGAAGGCGCUGGCCACCAAGCGCCGAGCGGCAGCUAGCCUACAACGAAGAUCUGCACAAGGGCGCUACAAGAUCUGCAUGGACGUCCUAGAAUCCACCGGUCUGUAGUAACAUGAGUCCCACGCUCGGCCUCCUGCAAGGGCGACCUUUCCUACUCCCAAAAGCAGACCUGGUUCAAGAUCAGAGGCAACAAUUCAGUUCAGUUAAGUGAUUAGGCAUAAUGCGCGAAUGCAAGCAAGGUUGGGAUGAAUGGGUCGAUGGUGUCAUGCCUCGGCCCACAGGACCAGCUAACAAGUCAAGAUUGAGGUGGACACUGGAGCUCCCUCAGUAUUCUGUAGAGGCUGUGAACAAGCUUGAGGGACCUGAAAGUUGAGUGAUGGUUUUCCUUUAUUUUUCAAGUAUUUUAUAAUUUUUUAUUCUCCACUCUAAACAGUUCACUUCAAUAUCUCUUACACAAAAGCAACUCCCAAGGGCGUUCUGAAGCUUACGAAAGUGGAAGGCCUAAACAUCUAUCAUCUAAAGACUCAUUCGCAGAUACUACUUCAGGGUUAUUUCGCCACUUCACUGAAAAUGAAACCAAACAUCUCUUCUUCUUUUCUUUGUUGAACAGAAGUACCGACACACAAAGUAUAUUCCAUAGAUCAAAGAAGAGUAAAUGUGUAUAUCGCACAAUUCAAAGGUUAAAAUAUUGUUCUGCUAAAUACCCCCAUCAUCUCAGUAGUUUGUGGGUCAUUACGAUCAGCAUUUACGAUUUGCAUCAAAGUUUUCUAUGCAUGCAAAAAAACUACUCUGAUCAAGUUGGUAUGGAGUUGGACACCCAGACUUUUUGCGCAUCUAAGUGUCGUGACAUUGAUUGUUUCAUCUAAUUCUCCAUGUGCCAAGUGAUGUAAAUACUGAAAGGAUUACCAUUUUAUUAUAUUAACAAAGACAAUCGUUUCCUGUAACUACUACAGUAUCUUGACCGAUUCCAACUAGAUGGAACUGGCUCAAUUGUACAAGAAGUACAAGGACCAGGGUUUUGAGUUCCUUACUUUCCCAUGCAACCAGUUUGGUGGGCAGGAACCUGGCAUUAAUGAGUAAAUUGUUCAGAUUUCUUGCACUCAUUUGAAGGCCGAGUAUCUGAUUUUUGACAAGAUUUUUGAGGGGGGAGAUACAUGGUCUC